ACGAUAUAAAGAGGCUGGCGGGAAGUAGCUGCAUGAGGAAGGCUGAGGACCAGGUGUAGUGGCGCUCUUUAGUGAAGGACUAUGUCCAACAGUGGACGUCGACAGGCUGAUGAUGAU